AUUGAACGCUGGCGGCAUGCCUUACACAUGCAAGUCGAACGGUAACGGGCCUUCGGGUGCCGACGAGUGGCGAACGGGUGAGUAAUACAUCGGAACGUGCCCGAUCGUGGGGGAUAACGAGGCGAAAGCUUUGCUAAUACCGCAUACGAUCUACGGAUGAAAGCAGGGGACCGCAAGGCCUUGCGCGGACGGAGCGGCCGAUGGCAGAUUAGGUAGUUGGUGGGAUAAAAGCUUACCAAGCCGACGAUCUGUAGCUGGUCUGAGAGGACGAUCAGCCACACUGGGACUGAGACACGGCCCAGACUCCUACGGGAGGUAGCAGUGGGGAAUUUUGGACAAUGGGCGCAAGCCUGAUCCAGCCAUGCCGCGUGCAGGAUGAAGGCCUUCGGGUUGUAAACUGCUUUUGUACGGAACGAAAAGCCUUCUUCUAAUACAGGAGGGUCAUGACGGUACCGUAAGAAUAAGCACCGGCUAACUACGUGCCAGCCGCCGCAGUAA
rnacentral:rRNA from 1 species